ACACGGGGGGCGCAAGCGUUAUUCGGAAUUAUUGGGCGUAAAGGGCGCGUAGGCGGUCUUGUCGGUCAGAUGUGAAAGCCCAGGGCUCAACCCUGGACGUGCAUUUGAAACAGCAAGACUUGAGUACGGGAGAGGAAAGCGGAAUUCCUGGUGUAGAGGUGAAAUCCGUAGAUAUCAGGAGGAACACCGAUGGCGAAGGCAGCUUUCUGGACCGAUACUGACGCUGAGGCGCGAAGGCGUGGGUAGCGAACAGGAUUAGAUACCCGGGUAGUCC
rnacentral:rRNA from 1 species